UCCCCCAUUGGCCAAUCUCUGUCACGUGGAAGCAGGCGCCGCGCUUUUGUACAUUUUUUUCUUUCCAGCGCGGAGCAAGCGCCGCGCUUUUGUAUAUUUUUUGUUUCCAGCGCGCGCCGACCUCCAUUGUUGGGCCUGCUCGACGAAAGUACGGCAGGCGGACUGACGGAGUGCGUUAGCGCAAUACAAUGUGCAGGGCCGAGAACUUAAUUGCGAUGCCAUGCUGCUGCGCCUUCGGUUGCCGCAACAGACAAAGCGAGGGCAAAAAGCUUUUUGCUUUGCCGUCCGGCGGGCGCAACGCAAGAAGAAGUGUGGAUUCGCAGUAUCGGGCGGCCUGACUUCGAGGAAGUGGCAAAGAACGCACGGCUUAGUCAAAUACCUUUCAAUGGCUCUGGCAGUCCGCGGAUAGCCAGAAGUGGAUAUAGAAGAAGCCCAGCAACAGACACGCUCAAGUAAUCAUGACGUGGGUCUUCGUCCUCAUCUUCAACAUGCCACAGAAAAGCACAGGAGCGCAUCUGCUUCACUAAAACUGUUGCAGAAGUU